rnacentral:tRNA from 1 species
GCCUUCGUAGUGUAGUGAUCGCACGCUCGGCGCGCAUUCGAGAGGUCCGAGGUUCGAGUCCCGGCGAGGGCA